GUCAUAUGCUUGUCUCAAAGAUUAAGCCAUGCAUGUCUCAGUACAAGCCAAAUUAAGGUGAAACCGCGAAAGGCUCAUUAAAUCAGUUAUGGUUCCUUAGAUCGUACCCACAAUUACUUGGAUAACUGUGGUAAUUCUAGAGCUAAUACAUGCAAACAGAGCUCCGACCGGAGACGGAAGGAGUGCUUUUAUUAGAUCAAAACCAAUCGGUGGCGGGUUCGCUCGUCAUCGUACAACUUGGUGACUCUGAAUAACUUUACGCUGAUCGCACGGUCACCGCGCCGGCGACGCAUCUUUCAAAUGUCUGCCUUAUCAACUGUCGAUGGUAGGUUCUGCGCCUACCAUGGUUGUAACGGGUAACGGGGAAUCAGGGUUCGAUUCCGGAGAGGGAGCCUGAGAAACGGCUACCACAUCCAAGGAAGGCAGCAGGCGCGCAAAUUACCCACUCCCGGCACGGGGAGGUAGUGACGAAAAAUAACGAUACGGGACUCAUCCGAGGCCCCGUAAUCGGAAUGAGUACACUCUAAACCCUUUAACGAGGAUCAAUUGGAGGGCAAGUCUGGUGCCAGCAGCCGCGG
rnacentral:rRNA from 1 species